rnacentral:tRNA from 2 species
ACUCUCUUAGCAUAACGGAUAAUGCAACUGUCUUCUAAGCAGUUUGAUGUGGGUUCGAUUCCUGCAGAGAGUU